GGAGGACCUGAAGGGCAAGAGCCAGCACUCCAGAGGACUUGCAACACCAAGACCAAAGCACCAGGACCAGGAUUAUCAACGAGAAAUCAAACCAGGAGUUGGGAAUGGGACAAGAGACUGGAUUGAACACCUGCCGCAGCCCUGGCCCACAGCAGGUAUCAACAUCUGCUGGAAGGAUGAACAGAUGGAUGAAUGGGGUUAGGCUAGAACCAGUUCCAGCUGUCUCCAGUCCUGCCUGCCUGGUGUUUAUGGGUGCACUGUGCUGCACCUCAGCAAUGAAAGACAACGUGACAGAGGCUGCUGUGGAAUGCAGAGGCUACGAGCUUGAGAUCUGGAGUCAGGGAUGGAUCCUUCGUGCCAAAUGCCUUUACAGGGGCCAUCGUGACAGUUAAAUUUGAUUCAGGCAAGAUGCACCACUGGGCAAGUUUUGUUGUGAGUUCUACAUGCCAGGAACUCCUACAAUUUGUCAUCUGAGAAAGCCCCAGAAUGUUGAGACACGAGCCAAGCUCUGUCCUGUGAGCCAGAUGAAACCACAGCAGUGAAAGACCAUAUGUCUGAGCCCACAAUGUGUCAGGAACAUGGCAGGCUUCUAUGCAGACUUUUUCAUCUUGUU